rnacentral:rRNA from 1 species
UGGGGGAUAUUGCACAAUGGAGGAAACUCUGAUGCAGCAACGCCGCGUGAGGGAAGAAGGUCUUCGGAUUGUAAACCUUUGUCCUUGGUGACGAUAAUGACGGUAGCCAAGGAGGAAGCUCCGGCUAACUACGUGCCAGCAGCCGCGGUAAUACGUAGGGAGCGAGCGUUGUCCGGAGUUACUGGGUGUAAAGGGUGCGUAGGCGGGCAUACAAGUCAGAUGUGAAAUACCAAGGCUUAACCUUGGGGCUGCAUUUGAAACUGUGUGUCUUGAGUGAUGGAGAGGCAGGCGGAAUUCCCGGUGUAGCGGUAAAAUGCAUAGAGAUCGGGAGGAACACCAGUGGCGAAGGCGGCCUGCUGGACAUUAACUGACGCUGAGGCGCGAAAGUGUGGGGAGCAAACAGG